rnacentral:rRNA from 1 species
UACGUAGGGUCCGAGCGUUGUCCGGAAUUACUGGGCGUAAAGAGCUCGUAGGUGGUUUGUCGCGUUGUCCGUGAAAACUCACAGCUCAACUGUGGGCGUGCGGGCGAUACGGGCAGACUGGAGUACUGCAGGGGAGACUGGAAGUUCCUGGUGUAGCGGUGGAAUGCGCAGAUAUCAGGAGGAACACCGGUGGCGAAGGCGGGUCUCUGGGCAGUAACUGACGCUGGAGGAGCGAAAGCGUGGGGAGCGAACAGG